rnacentral:lncRNA from 1 species
AGGGUCUAGUAUUCAGGUUUAGGAUAUAUGGUUUAGGGUUUAGGUUUAAGAUUUGGGUUUAGGGUAUAGGGUUUGGGUUUAUGAUCUAGAGUUUGGGUUUAGGAUUUAGGGUUUAGAGUUUGGGUUUAGGGUUUAGAGUUUAGGUUUAGGAUUUAGGUUUAGAGUUUGGGUUUAGGAUUUAUGGUUUAAAAUUUAGGAUUUAGAAUUUAAGAUUUAGGGUUUUGUUAGUGGCAUCAUUUUCAUUCUUCAAUU